rnacentral:rRNA from 1 species
GACGUAGGGCGCGAGCGUUGUCCGGAUUUAUUGGGCGUAAAGAGCUCGUAGGCGGCUUGUUGCGUCGACCGUGAAAACUUGGGGCUUAACCUUAAGCUUGCGGUUGAUACGGGCAGGCUAGAGUUCGGUAGGGGAGACUGGAAUUCCUGGUGUAGCGGUGAAAUGCGCAGAUAUCAGGAGGAACACCGGUGGCGAAGGCGGGUCUCUGGGCCGAAACUGACGCUGAGGAGCGAAAGCGUGGGGAGCGAACAGG